GGAGUCGGUCAGGCAACCGCGUCGCGCGCAAGCGCGCCGAGGAAAGUCCGGGCUCCACAGGGCACGGUGCCAGGUAACGCCUGGGCGGCGCGAGCCGACGGAAAGUGCAGCAGAAAGAAACCGCCGAUGGCCCUUCGGGGCUCAGGCAAGGGUGAAAUGGUGCGGUAAGAGCGCACCGCGAGUCCGGUAACGGACCGGCACGGCAAACCCCACCGGGAGCAAGGCCAAAUAGGGACCUCAUGACGUUGCCCGCGUCGGGUCCGGGUAGGCUGCUUGAGGCGCAUCGGUGACGAUGCGUCCAGAGGAAUGGUUGUCCACGACAGAACCCGGCUUAUCGACCGGCUUCGCCA
rnacentral:RNase_P_RNA from 1 species